UGAUCCUGGCUCAGAUUGAACGCUGGCGGCAUGCCUUACACAUGCAAGUCGAACGGCAGCACGGGAGCAAUCCUGGUGGCGAGUGGCGAACGGGUGAGUAAUGUAUCGGAACGUACCUUUCAGUGGGGAUAACGUAGCGAAAGUUACGCUAAUACCGCAUAUUCUGUGAGCAGGAAAGCAGGGGAUCGCAAGACCUUGCGCUGAUUGAGCGGCCGAUAUCAGAUUAGCUAGUUGGUGAGGUAAAGGCUCACCAAGGCGACGAUCUGUAGCGGGUCUGAGAGGAUGAUCCGCCACACUGGAACUGAGACACGGUCCAGACUCCUACGGGAGGCAGCAGUGGGGAAUUUUGGACAAUGGGCGCAAGCCUGAUCCAGCCAUGCCGCGUGAGUGAAGAAGGCCUCGGUUGUAAGU
rnacentral:rRNA from 1 species